UUCGGGAGAUGCUUUGUAAACACAAAGUCGUGGAAUUAGAAAUCACAAAUCAGUGACGCAGCUACUAUAGUUUAGAUUAAAACAGAAUACACUUUAUAGAUAAACACGAACAGAUAAACAGAGGCGGUGACUUCGAUCAAGCGAAAUAAAGAGGGAUUAGGGUUUCUGAAUUUGGGGAAAUCAAUUGGAUCGGUGUGGAUGGUGGGUGGUGUAUGAACGGAGGCCGCGAGUCGGCGGUGGACACGGGAGAAAUCGGCGGCGUCGUGUGGGGAGGGAGGAAGAAGGAUGGAGGCGAUUGUGUUGGUUUGAACAGGGCUGGCUAGAGGAGAGACAGAGGUUGAGGGGUGGUGAUCAGUAGGUGUGUUUAGGUGGGUGUUAUUUCGUGGUUGUAAAUUGAUUUCAUGGUAGGUGUUUAUGACACGGGGCUGAUUUAUUGGGUUGCUGGACAAGAAUGAUUACAGGAGAUGCCCUGUGGUUGACGCGGCGGUGGGCUGCGGUCCAGGCGUCUCGGUUAUGGCCAGACGAGGUGGUGGCCUGGUUGUGGCCGUGUGCUGCAGCAGGUGGUUCGGUUGGUGUCACAACAGAGUUGUGAUAGCAAGGCUGGGAGGAGUGAAGUGAUGACUGAAUUGAUUAGUUAGUCAAUGAGAGUUGCGUGUGUAUAGCUUAGGAACUUGGGGAUGAAAACAUAGAUGUUGGGGGACAGUUGGACGGCUAUGGUGAUAUUUUGAGGGCUCAGCCUUGAGUAUUCGAGAAACAGGGCAGCUGGGGUUUUAGAGUAUAAAAGGAAGGAUGGCAGGAGGUGUACAGGAAAGAAAGUGUGGUGGGUUGAGGUUGCAACAUCAACAACAGAAGUCUAUCGAGGCGCGUGCAUUCAACAAAUUACAAAAGCCAGCGCAUAGUGUUGCAAGUCAAGUUUGGAAUAGUUUGAUAAGGCGAUAUUGUGCCGUGAAAUAGUCCAAUAGAAUGUAGUGAUUUCAGAGUUAGCAGAGUUGAGGCCAGUAUAAAAGCUCGAGUAGAGUGACUGAGUUGUCACCUGUUUCUAUCAAAGGCUUAUAUGCCUUACACAUUAGUAUCUGUUCUAAUAAUUCUCGGGGUGAGCCAGAGUCGAACCCGGGUGUCCCGGGACAACAGAGGAUAAGCCCACCACUGGGCUCUAAUUUAAUUCAAAAGAAAUUAUAUCUUGUGGCUCUUGCCUUUCGCACUAUCUUGCUGAGCAUUUUCGCUCACCCUUGCUAUUAUUUCUAACCCUUUCAGCUAGGGAUUAAGAUGAUCACCGGUGUAAGCUGCGCGUAAGAUUGAUGCUAGGCGAGAAUGCCAGAGAGAUGUCUGUGAAACCAGUUAUGGUUAGAAUUGUUUAAUACAGUUCAGUUGUGAAUAGAUUUAUUUAUUGGUUAUCAGUUAUAAGUUAUUCUUCUAAUCGAAGUUUAGCUGAUAAUGUAGUUUAAGUUGUAAUGAGACUUUAAGGUUUUGGGUUCUGAUUUCGAUGCUGUAACCUAUUAGCGAUCCUGUUUUAGGGGGUCAAAGUGAUUUUGAUCUAAAUCCCUUUUAAAAUGUCCAGAUGUUUUAAAUAUCUGUUUUACCUUUUCCCGCAAAUACAGGUU